AGUUUAGGAAUUAUUUUUUGUAUUUUUUUGUUUAUGUUAAAAUAAGAAUAUUAAUGUUUUAUUAUUUGGUAAGAAAAAAUUUCUUUUAUUAUAGUUUACUAGUAUUGUAAGAGAAUUUCUUUUAUUAUUAAAAAGAAGAUUUUUUUUAUUGUACCUUGUGUAUCAGGGCCUAUUAAUUAUUAUUAUAUAUUUAAUUUUCCCGAUUUUAGGAGAGCUAAUUAUUUAUAGUUGUUAUUGUAGAAUAAAUAUUUCCAAUAAAUAAUUGGAAACGAAAUGUUAUUCGUUCCUAAAUAUAUCUGGUUUUUUCAGAAAUGAAUUUAAUUCAAUUGAUUAAAGGUAAAGAUUUCUUUUAUUAAUUCUUUAUAUUUAUCAGUUAAUCUUACUAGGGAUGAGCUUAGUAACAAAUUUCUAUAAAUUAUUUUUACUCAGAGUAUGUAGGAUUAGAAGUUUUCAACGUUUACAUUAUGUUAUAUUUGUCUCUGUUUUAAUUAUUAUUUUUUUUUUAUUAGAUUUUAUAUGAAAAUAUAAUUUUUAACUUUAAAUGGUUAGUAAUAAUGAUAGGAUUAGUAUAUUUAUUUUGUUUAUUGGAUGAUUUUUAGAUUAAUAGAAGGAAUUCGGCAAUUUAUUUUCCACCUGUUUAUUAAAAACAUGGCCUUUUGAUCAUUAUUUAAGGUCUGGCCUGCCCACUGAAAUUUAAAGGGCCGCGGUAUUUUGACCGUGCAAAGGUAGCAUAAUAAUUAGUUUUUUAAUUGAAAGCUGGAAUGAAUGGUUUGAUGAGAAAAUUACUGUCUCCUAUUAAAUAAUAGAACUUUAUUUUUUAGUAAGAAGGCUUAAAUAUAAUUGAAAGACGAGAAGACCCUAUAGAGUUUGACAUAAAUUUUUAUGAAUUUAUUUUUGGUAUUAUAAGUUUUUAUAAAUAUUUCUGUUUAGUUGGGGCGAUUGAAAAAUUAAAUAAACUUUUUCUUUAUUUUUCCACUUUUUGGUGCAUUAUUGAUCCAUAUAUAUAUGAUUAUAAGAUAAAAUUACCUUAGGGAUAACAGCGUUAUUUCUUUUGAGAGUUCUUAUCGAAAAAGAAGUUUGCGACCUCGAUGUUGGAUUAAAAUUAAUUUUUGGUGUAGAGGCUGAAAUAUUAGGUCUGUUCGACCUUUAAAAUUUUACAUGAUCUGAGUUUAGACCGGCGUGAGCCAGGUUGGUUUCUAUCUUCAGUAAAUACAGAUAAUCUAGUACGAAAGGACCGAUUUUCUAAUAAAUUAUUUUUUUUUGAAUAUUAUU
rnacentral:rRNA from 1 species